rnacentral:rRNA from 1 species
AUGCGAGUUUUCUUGCCUCGGAUACCAUUAUGCCCAUCUGACGAUGACAUGUUCCCGUUCAGUUUCAAGAGAAAACAGUUUCCUGUCAGACUCAGUUUUGCAAUGACAAUAAACAAAUCACAAGGCCAGACAAUACCAACUGUCGUUGUCUACGUGCCUGAGCUUGUUUUCUCACAUGGUCAAUUAUAUGUCACGCUUUCUAGAGCAACCGCGACAUCGGACAUAAAGGUGACACAUACACAAAGGAGAAGAAGAAAAGGAAGAAUAGGAUCAGUACAAGCAAUACAUACACAAAGAAUAUUGUCUACACAGAAGUCUUGA